UCACAGUGAGUUAACUCGGGCUCGUAGUGAGUUAACUCACCCGAGUUAACUCAAAGACCUAACUCACCUGACAAUGAAAUUUUGGAACUGGGCUAGGAAAAGCACACUCAAUUAGCCCAGCACCAAUCUCUUAUGUGUGAUGGAUCUGGCCCAAUGAAUAAAUUUGGACCUUUGGCAACUAUGGAUUCUGGGCUUAAGGAUUCUACGAUGCAGCUAACUAUGGCCAAGUUAGCACUACACGAAAGGGAAGAAACAAGGUUGGAGAUCAAACUGCACCAUGAAAAU
rnacentral:lncRNA from 1 species